AGCAAAGAGAUUGCAUCUUUCUGCUGUCCACAGACGAUGAAAUCACAUAUCAAGGUCUUAAAAAUAUCAGUUAUCACAGCAAAUACAAACCUCAGCCUUCUGCUUGGAGAAACGUCUUCACAUUGAGUUAACAUGACUGACAGCUGAAGACACGCACUCAGAGAUGUUCUGACUCUGACAACACAAGAUCAAACAACGAUGAGUGUUUUCCGAAGUCGAUAGAGUUGUCUGGAUCGUUUCCACAAAGAAUCCCUCCGUCACAAGCAGCACAACAUAAACAAGCGUUGCAUCGACAACACCUGUUUCUACCCACACGUGGAAGAAGAUUUCUUGAGGUGUAAAUUAAAAUGUGCUUUAUUUGAAGGUUC